rnacentral:rRNA from 1 species
GACGAACGCUGGCGGCGUGCCUAAUACAUGCAAGUCGAGCGGAUCUCGAGGACCUUGCUCCUUGAGAUUAGCGGCGGACGGGUGAGUAACACGUGGGCAACCUGCCUGUAAGACUGGGAUAACACCGGGAAACCGGUGCUAAUACCGGAUAAUUCUUUCCCUCACAUGAGGGGAAGCUGAAAGUCGGUUUCGGCUGACACUUACAGAUGGGCCCGCGGCGCAUUAGCUAGUUGGUGAGGUAACGGCUCACCAGGGCAACGAUGCGUAGCCGACCGGAGAGGGUGAUCGGCCACACUGGGACUGAGACACGGCCCAGACUCCUAUGGGAGGCAGCAGUAGGGAAUCUUCCGCAAUGGACGAAAGUCUGACGGAGCAACGCCGCGUGAGUGAUGAAGGCCUUCGGGUCGUAAAACUCUGUUGUUAGGGAAGAACAAGUAUCGGAGUAACUGCCGGUACCUUGCCGGUACCUAACCAGAAAGCCACGGCUAACUACGUGCCAGCAGCCGCCGUAAAAC